ACUCAAAUGAAUAGACGGGGGCCCGCACAAGCGGUGGAGCAUGUGGAUUAAUACGUCACUAACCGUAGAACCUUACCCAGGCUUGACAUCUGUAGAAUCCCCUUGAAAGGGGGGAGUGCUUCGCAAGAAGAGCUACAAGACAGGUGUUGCAUGGCUGUCGUCAGCUCGUGUCGUGAGAUGUUGGGUUAAGUCCCGCAACGAGCGCAACCCUCACCGUAUGUUGCCAGCGUCAAGUCGGGCACUCUUACGGAACUGCCCGGGUAACCGGGAGGAAGGUGGGGACGACGUCAAGUCAGCAUGGCCCUUACGCCUGGGGCUUCACACAUGCUACAAUGGCCGGUACAAAGGGCUCCGAUACCGCGAGGUGGAGGCAAUCCCAAAAAGCCGGUCUCAGUUCGGAUCGCAGGCUGCAACUCGCCUGCGUGAAGUUGGAAUCGCUAGUAACGGCCGGUCAGCUAAACGGCCGUGAAUACGUUCCCGGGCCUUGCACACACCGCCCGU
rnacentral:rRNA from 1 species